GGUAUGUAAGCUCUAUCAGCAGGGAAGAAAAAAAUGACGGUACCUGACUAAGAAGCCCCGGCUAACUACGUGCCAGCAGCCGCGGUAAUACGUAGGGGGCAAGCGUUAUCCGGAUUUACUGGGUGUAAAGGGAGCGCAGGCGGUGCGGCAAGUCUGAUGUGAAAGCCCGGGGCUCAACCCCGGGACUGCAUUGGAAACUGUCGUACUUGAGUAUCGGAGAGGUAAGUGGAAUUCCUAGUGUAGCGGUGAAAUGCGUAGAUAUUAGGAGGAACACCAGUGGCGAAGGCGGCUUACUGGACGAUAACUGACGCUGAGGCUCGAAAGCGUGGGGAGCAAACAGGAUUAGAUACCCUGGUAGUCCACGCCGUAAA
rnacentral:rRNA from 1 species